UUUACAGUGGGUGUGAUAUGAAGUCUGUCCAGGGGAGUUGACUGAAUACUUAGCCACUGCAUAAAAAAUGUUAGUUCUUUUCCACCACUGUUUACUCAUUCGUUUUACAACUGCUCAACUUUGUUCUGGUCCAGCAGGACUCUCUUGUACAAGCCCCAACAGCUCCAUGCCCAUCCCUGCCCAGGGUCCAGCCUUGUCUUAGUAAACAUUCAUCUCCCUGACUCAGGCUGCUGCUUAGAAAUUCUGUUUCGGUUGCAGUUCCAUUGUGUGGAGCCAGUACUACAACUUUUCCUCCUGCAUUCAUUUCUCUUCCUGCUGCCUUGUGAAGAAGGUGCCUUGCUUCCCCUUCACCUUCUACGGUGAUUGCAAGUUGCCUGAGGAUUCCCCAGCCAUGUGAAACUUUCACAGAGUUUGAGAGAAACUGUAUUCAAGUUGCUGAAACCAAGAAGCUACACUCACGAGUCUCACCUAAACUCGAAUCUGAUUUAGAUGACAUCAUCCUGGACUUUGAGUUGAUGAAACCUUGGAGGUCUUGGGAGUAAAGCAAGUGUGAUUUGCAUAUGAUGGAUAUGAAUUGUAAUGGCCAGAGCAUGGCUGUGGGAACCAAGACUGAAUUCCAUAAUUUACAUGGAUGUUUGGAAGGUGUCUGCAACUUAAUCUGUGUUCGUUUCUGAGAUGUUGGGCAACUCCUUCUUGGAAGAUGUGGUAAUGGUCUCUUCGAAAAGAAAAUAAUCAUCUGAGUUUUGGCCAAAAUAGUUGAUCGGAUUACCUAUGAAAAUGACUCUCACCCAACUACAAGAAUGUUAUGAUGUAGAAACUCUAAAUAUAUGAGUAAUUAACUAUACAACACUCCAUCCCCAUGUGAAAAUCUUUAAUCUUUUAAGAUACUGAAAUUUUGUGUAUGUCUCAUAAUUUUCUGUAUAUGGUCAAUGAGUUUUGCCUUAGCCAUAAGUGGUCUGUCUGAAAUCUUCUCUAUUAUUUGUGCAUUUUCUUCCUGAUGUACCAAGCCUAGUCUGUUUGUUUUUUCCUAAGAGAAAAGCAGAUGAUUCAACUGUGUAUUUCUCAGUGUUGAUAUUGUGGUUUGAGGUAUUUCAUAAUCUUGAGUAAAAUCUUGUCAAUUUUAUGCUAUGCCUUGUGGGAACAUAUUUUUACUUUUAAGUCUCUUUGGCAAGUGGAGCUUCCUUUGUGUUUCCUCACCAAAUGUAUUCCCCAUUGUUUUCUGAUUAAUUCUUUUUCAGAAUGUUUACUCCUUCUUACCUCAAUGUCAUUACUUUUCAGUCUUGGCUUUGGGUAAACCUAGGACAAGAAUUGGAUAUCCAAAGCCAAUUUCAAUAUAAAAACUAUAAUAUCUAUCAAAAUCUAUGUAAAAUCCUGUGUAUAUUUCUCUUCUUUGUUGAACAGGGGCUUAUAAUCAUGUAGGUAAAUACACGUGGUUUUGAUUUCAGCACUGAUUACUGAAGAUUUGUCUUCCAUUCUUCUGGGCCAGGCCCAUACACAACCAUAGUUAGAAGUAAAAACUAUUUGUUAUACCUGGAAUGCCUUUCCUUUCAAUCUCUGAAUGUCUAAAAUUACUUUUUCUUUGAAGACCACCUCAGGUGACCCUACUGUGGGGAAAAUGCCUGAAUUAUCUUUGUAAUCCCAGCUCAGCCACUUAAAGAUUGUGUAAGUUUAGUGUCAGCAUAUUACUUAAGUUCUUUUAGAUUUAGUUUCCUCAUAUGUAAGCUGGGGAUAAUAAUACCUACCUCAUAGAAAAUGAAUGAGAAUCAAGUUAUAUAAUAUAUGAACAACACUUGACACUGUGUGUGAACACUCAAUACAUGUAAAUCAUUAUUAUUAGCAAAAUGAUUAUUAGGUUCUCAUGCUAAUCCACAAUUUUUAUUGGCAGAUAUCCAUUAGUUUAUAGUUAAUGUUAUUCAUAAUCUUUUCUUCAUAUUCAAAUAGGAAGAGAUGACUUCUCAAUCUAGUUAAUCCUGGAUGUGUAUUUCUCUUAAUUUAUUGAGUGUAAAAUGCUUAUUUAUAUACAUACAAUUUCCCUUAUUAGUGAACAUCUAGAAGGCAGAAUGGUACUUCAUUUCUUUCUGUAUGUUUAGCACCAAGGACAGUACCUGGCACAUAGAAGAUACAUAUUAAAAACAAAUAAAACAACUCUUAAUGGAUCUCAUUUUAAAAAAAUUCUCGGUUAAUUAUAAAGGCUCUAGUAAACCAAAUAAUUGUAUGUUAACUUAUUUACUUUUAUUACUGUGUUUAUUUUCUCCAACUGCUUCAUCAUACAAAGUAAACACCUGAAUGUAAGCUGCAUGAGGGCAAGAGCUGUGUCUUGUUUACUGCUCUCAAGAACAUUUGAGCAAAGUGCCUGGCACAUGGCAGACACUCAAUAAGUUACAAUUAAUACUCAAUGUAUGAACUGAUCUAUACUUAGAAUUGACUAAGAAGAAUAAGUCUUACACAGACUCAGUCUCUGAGAACUUGAAAAUCUAAGUUUGCAUAUCUCUGCUGUUGUGUUUUCAGGUUACUCAGUAGAAAACCAAGUUAUUUACACAUCCUCAAGUGUCUCAAGGUUAAAUCUUCCAUGCAUAAAAUAUCUGGGCGAUUGAUUGUGUUUCUUACUUUGCUCCUAAGUAUGUUAGCAUCAUAUAGGCAUAGCCUAAGCCAGACCAAAAUGAAUUCAUUGAUUGACUCAACAAAUGUUUAUGGAUCUCAG
rnacentral:lncRNA from 10 species